rnacentral:rRNA from 1 species
UGGGGAAUAUUGGACAAUGGGGGCAACCCUGAUCCAGCAAUGCCGCGUGUGUGAAGAAGGCCUGCGGGUUGUAAAGCACUUUCGGUUGGGAGGAAAAGCCUCUGGCGAAUAACCAGGGGUCUUGACGUAACCAACAUAAGAAGCACCGGCUAACUCCGUGCCAGCAGCCGCGGUAAUACGGAGGGUGCGAGCGUUAAUCGGAAUUACUGGGCGUAAAGCGUGCGUAGGCGGAUGCUUGAGUCGGAUGUGAAAGCCCCGGGCUUAACCUGGGAAUUGCAUCCGAUACUGGGCGUCUAGAGUGUGGUAGAGGGGGGUAGAAUUCCUGGUGUAGCGGUGAAAUGCGUAGAUAUCAGGAGGAAUACCGGUGGCGAAGGCGACCCCCUGGACCAACACUGACGCUGAGGUACGAAAGCGUGGGUAGCAAACAGG